GCAUAGAGGCAAACGGGUGGAUCCGCAGUGUCGUCCCGGGGAAUUCAGCCCGCGUGCGACCGGGCACAGGCGCGCACCGCAAUCCGUCUCUGAAGCGGACGCGCUGCCGCUCCGGCGCGCAGGGUGCACUUUCUCCGGGUGCGAGAGCCACGACGGACUGGGCGGCGGUCAUGAGCCCGGCGGGAAGGUAGCCGGGAGAACCCCCUCGCGGGGGCNUCUCGGUGUUACAGCCCGCCGACGUGGACACGUCGCCCGGUCGAGGACGCAGAGCCGCGUCCCUCCGCCUCGGGUCUUGCGGGGGCGUUNNACCUCGGACCUGCUCUGCAGUGCGCCGUAACCGCGCCUCNGCAGUCGGAC
rnacentral:rRNA from 1 species